AUUGAACGCUGGCGGCAGGCCUAACACAUGCAAGUCGAGCGGAGCGGCGGACGGGUGAGUAAUGCAUAGGAAUCUGCCUGGUCGUGGGGGAUGACGUACGGAAAGGGGCGCUAAUACCGCAUGUUAUCAGAUGAGCCUAGGUCGGAUUAGCUAGUUGGUGGGGUAAAGGCCUACCAAGGCGACGAACCGUAACUGGGCUGAGAGGAUGAACGGCCACAAUGGGAAUGAGGAACGGCCCCGACUCCUACGGGAGGGAGCAGGGGGGAAUCUUCCGAAAUGGACGGAAGUCUGACGGCACAACGGCGGGUGAGUGAUAGCGGCCUUCGGGUUGUAAAGGUAUGUUAAUCGGGAAGCGGUACCGGAAUAGAAAGCAACGGCUAACUACGUGCCAGCAGCCGCGGUAAUAC
rnacentral:rRNA from 1 species